rnacentral:rRNA from 2 species
GGGUUGUGAGGUUAAGCGACUAAGCGUACACGGUGGAUGCCCUGGCAGUCAGAGGCGAUGAAGGACGUGCUAAUCUGCGAUAAGCGUCGGUAAGGUGAUAUGAACCGUUAUAACCGGCGAUUUCCGAAUGGGGAAACCCAGUGUGUUUCGACACACUAUCAUUAACUGAAUCCAUAGGUUAAUGAGGCGAACCGGGGGAACUGAAACAUCUAAGUACCCCGAGGAAAAGAAAUCAACCGAGAUUCCCCCAGUAGCGGCGAGCGAACGGGGAGCAGCCCAGAGCCUGAAUCAGUGUGUGUGUUAGUGGAAGCGUCUGGAAAGGCGCGCGAUACAGGGUGACAGCCCCGUACACAAAAAUGCACAUGCUGUGAGCUCGAUGAGUAGGGCGGGACACGUGGUAUCCUGUCUGAAUAUGGGGGGACCAUCCUCCAAGGCUAAAUACUCCUGACUGACCGAUAGUGAACCAGUACCGUGAGGGAAAGGCGAAAAGAACCCCGGCGAGGGGAGUGAAAAAGAACCUGAAACCGUGUACGUACAAGCAGUGGGAGCACGCUUAGGCGUGUGACUGCGUACCUUUUGUAUAAUGGGUCAGCGACUUAUAUUCUGUAGCAAGGUUAACCGAAUAGGGGAGCCGAAGGGAAACCGAGUCUUAACUGGGCGUUAAGUUGCAGGGUAUAGACCCGAAACCCGGUGAUCUAGCCAUGGGCAGGUUGAAGGUUGGGUAACACUAACUGGAGGACCGAACCGACUAAUGUUGAAAAAUUAGCGGAUGACUUGUGGCUGGGGGUGAAAGGCCAAUCAAACCGGGAGAUAGCUGGUUCUCCCCGAAAGCUAUUUAGGUAGCGCCUCGUGAAUUCAUCUCCGGGGGUAGAGCACUGUUUCGGCAAGGGGGUCAUCCCGACUUACCAACCCGAUGCAAACUGCGAAUACCGGAGAAUGUUAUCACGGGAGACACACGGCGGGUGCUAACGUCCGUCGUGAAGAGGGAAACAACCCAGACCGCCAGCUAAGGUCCCAAAGUCAUGGUUAAGUGGGAAACGAUGUGGGAAGGCCCAGACAGCCAGGAUGUUGGCUUAGAAGCAGCCAUCAUUUAAAGAAAGCGUAAUAGCUCACUGGUCGAGUCGGCCUGCGCGGAAGAUGUAACGGGGCUAAACCAUGCACCGAAGCUGCGGCAGCGACGCUGAUGCGUUGUUGGGUAGGGGAGCGUUCUGUAAGCCUGCGAAGGUGUGCUGUGAGGCAUGCUGGAGGUAUCAGAAGUGCGAAUGCUGACAUAAGUAACGAUAAAGCGGGUGAAAAGCCCGCUCGCCGGAAGACCAAGGGUUCCUGUCCAACGUUAAUCGGGGCAGGGUGAGUCGACCCCUAAGGCGAGGCCGAAAGGCGUAGUCGAUGGGAAACAGGUUAAUAUUCCUGUACUUGGUGUUACUGCGAAGGGGGGACGGAGAAGGCUAUGUUGGCCGGGCGACGGUUGUCCCGGUUUAAGCGUGUAGGCUGGUUUUCCAGGCAAAUCCGGAAAAUCAAGGCUGAGGCGUGAUGACGAGGCACUACGGUGCUGAAGCAACAAAUGCCCUGCUUCCAGGAAAAGCCUCUAAGCAUCAGGUAACAUCAAAUCGUACCCCAAACCGACACAGGUGGUCAGGUAGAGAAUACCAAGGCGCUUGAGAGAACUCGGGUGAAGGAACUAGGCAAAAUGGUGCCGUAACUUCGGGAGAAGGCACGCUGAUAUGUAGGUGAGGUCCCUCGCGGAUGGAGCUGAAAUCAGUCGAAGAUACCAGCUGGCUGCAACUGUUUAUUAAAAACACAGCACUGUGCAAACACGAAAGUGGACGUAUACGGUGUGACGCCUGCCCGGUGCCGGAAGGUUAAUUGAUGGGGUUAGCGCAAGCGAAGCUCUUGAUCGAAGCCCCGGUAAACGGCGGCCGUAACUAUAACGGUCCUAAGGUAGCGAAAUUCCUUGUCGGGUAAGUUCCGACCUGCACGAAUGGCGUAAUGAUGGCCAGGCUGUCUCCACCCGAGACUCAGUGAAAUUGAACUCGCUGUGAAGAUGCAGUGUACCCGCGGCAAGACGGAAAGACCCCGUGAACCUUUACUAUAGCUUGACACUGAACAUUGAGCCUUGAUGUGUAGGAUAGGUGGGAGGCUUAGAAGUGUGGACGCCAGUCUGCAUGGAGCCGACCUUGAAAUACCACCCUUUAAUGUUUGAUGUUCUAACGUUGACCCGUAAUCCGGGUUGCGGACAGUGUCUGGUGGGUAGUUUGACUGGGGCGGUCUCCUCCUAAAGAGUAACGGAGGAGCACGAAGGUUGGCUAAUCCUGGUCGGACAUCAGGAGGUUAGUGCAAUGGCAUAAGCCAGCUUGACUGCGAGCGUGACGGCGCGAGCAGGUGCGAAAGCAGGUCAUAGUGAUCCGGUGGUUCUGAAUGGAAGGGCCAUCGCUCAACGGAUAAAAGGUACUCCGGGGAUAACAGGCUGAUACCGCCCAAGAGUUCAUAUCGACGGCGGUGUUUGGCACCUCGAUGUCGGCUCAUCACAUCCUGGGGCUGAAGUAGGUCCCAAGGGUAUGGCUGUUCGCCAUUUAAAGUGGUACGCGAGCUGGGUUUAGAACGUCGUGAGACAGUUCGGUCCCUAUCUGCCGUGGGCGCUGGAGAACUGAGGGGGGCUGCUCCUAGUACGAGAGGACCGGAGUGGACGCAUCACUGGUGUUCGGGUUGUCAUGCCAAUGGCACUGCCCGGUAGCUAAAUGCGGAAGAGAUAAGUGCUGAAAGCAUCUAAGCACGAAACUUGCCCCGAGAUGAGUUCUCCCUGACCCUUUAAGGGUCCUGAAGGAACGUUGAAGACGACGACGUUGAUAGGCCGGGUGUGUAAGCGCAGCGAUGCGUUGAGCUAACCGGUACUAAUGAACCGUGAGGCUUAACCUUACAACGCCGAAGCUGUU